rnacentral:tRNA from 1 species
GGCGGCAUAGCUCAACGGGCAGAGCAUGCGGCUCAUAUCCGCAGGGUUGGGGGUUCGAGUCCCUCUGCCGCCACCA